UGGUUGGCAUAAAACAUGUCUCAUAUUUUACGCCGGAGAUUCAUGCACAUGUUCUUCCUCUUCAUUUCUAUUUUCCUGCACCAAUUCCCCUCCGGCUUUUCUGAUGAUUCAAAAGAUACGAAAAAGAGCAAAAAGGGAUCUACAAUAUUCAUACUAUGUGUCGGUCUUGCAGUAAUUGUCGGUUUGUCAUCGUACCUUUUCAGACUAUGGCAAAAGAAGAAGCGUGAAGAGCAGCAUGCUCGUCUGUUAAAGCUCUUUGAAGAAGAUGAUGAGCUUGAAUUUGAACUUGCUCUUUCUGAGUGACCCGCUUCAUUGUGAUGGAGGUGUAAAUGGAAGGGGAUUUUUCCAGUACCCAGAGCAGGAAAUGGAAUACCUAAAGAACGUUGUUUUGUAAAAAUGUCAAAUUAUUAUUUUUGAUGUAAUAGACCAGAGUUUAUCUAGAUAUGGAUUUGUUUUAGUUUAUUGUUUUUCUCUUA